UACGUAGGGGGCUAGCGUUGUCCGGAUUUAUUGGGCGUAAAGAGCGUGUAGGCGGCCAGGUAGGUCUGCUGUGAAAACUCGAGGCUCAACCUCGAGACGUCGGCGGAAACCAUCUGGCUAGAGUCCGGAAGAGGAGAGUGGAAUUCCUAGUGUAGCGGUGAAAUGCGUAGAGAUUAGGAAGAACACCAGUGGCGAAGGCGACUUACUGGACUGUAACUGACGCUGAGGCAUGAAAGCGUGGGGAGCAAACAGG
rnacentral:rRNA from 1 species